UCGGCUAGUAGCGAUGACGUUGCCCGCACGCUUGUUAUCACCACAAAACCGCCCCGUUACGCAGGGGAUGAUGACGCCUAUAGUAAA
rnacentral:ncRNA from 16 species